UACGAAGGGGGCUAGCGUUGCUCGGAAUCACUGGGCGUAAAGCGCACGUAGGCGGACUCUUAAGUCGGUGGUGAAAUCCUGGAGCUCAACUCCAGAACUGCCUUCGAUACUGAGAGUCUCGAGUCCGAGAGAGGUGAGUGGAACUGCGAAGUGUAGAGGUGAAAUUCGUAGAUAUUCGCAAGAACACCAGUGGCGAAGGCGGCUCACUGGCUCGGUACUGACGCUGAGGUGGUGAA
rnacentral:rRNA from 1 species